AGCGAACGUUAGCGGCGGGCCUAACACAUGCAAGUCGAACGAGACCUUCGGGUCUAGUGGCGCACGGGUGCGUAACGCGUGGGAACCUGCCUUUAGGUUCGGAAUAACUCAGAGAAAUUUGAGCUAAUACCGGAUAAUGUCUUCGGACCAAAGAUUUAUCGCCUUUAGAUGGGCCCGCGUUGGAUUAGCUAGUUGGUGGGGUAAAGGCCUACCAAGGCGACGAUCCAUAGCUGGUCUGAGAGGAUGAUCAGCCACACUGGGACUGAGACACGGCCCAGACUCCUACGGGAGGCAGCAGUGGGGAAUAUUGGACAAUGGGCGAAAGCCUGAUCCAGCAAUGCCGCGUGAGUGAUGAAGGCCUUAGGGUUGUAAAGCUCUUUUACCCGAGAUGAUAAUGACAGUAUCGGGAGAAUAAGCUCCGGCUAACUCCGUGCCAGCAGCC
rnacentral:rRNA from 1 species